GGCGCUAUAGCCAAGUGGUUACGGCGACAGAUUAGAAUUUGAUUGUCUGAUUGUCUGAUCUGUUCCUCUUUGAGGGCGCAGGUUCAAAUCCUGCUGGCGUCG
rnacentral:tRNA from 1 species